rnacentral:sRNA from 1 species
GAGACAAAAUUGACAUUUGUGAGACAAAAUUGACUUUUGUGAGACAAAAUUGACAAAAUUGAAUUUUCUCUCACAAAAGUCAAUUUUGACUCACAGAAUUG